AUUGAACGCUGGCGGCAGGCCUAACACAUGCAAGUCGAGCGGAUGAAGGGAGCUUGCUCCUGGAUUCAGCGGCGGACGGGUGAGUAAUGCCUAGGAAUCUGCCUGGUAGUGGGGGAUAACGUCCGGAAACGGGCGCUAAUACCGCAUACGUCCUGAGGGAGAAAGUGGGGGAUCUUCGGACCUCACGCUAUCAGAUGAGCCUAGGUCGGAUUAGCUAGUUGGUGGGGUAAAGGCCUACCAAGGCGACGAUCCGUAACUGGUCUGAGAGGAUGAUCAGUCACACUGGAACUGAGACACGGUCCAGACUCCUACGGGAGGCAGCAGUGGGGAAUAUUGGACAAUGGGCGCAAGCCUGAUCCAGCCAUGCCGCGUGUGUGAAGAAGGUCUUCGGAUUGUAAAGCACUUUAAGUUGGGAAGAAGAGCAGUAAGUUAAUACCUUGCUGUUUUGACGUUACCAACAGAAUAAGCACCGGCUAACUUCGUG
rnacentral:rRNA from 1 species